rnacentral:misc_RNA from 1 species
GAUGAAGAACGCAGUGAAAUGCGAUAAGUAAUGUGAAUUGCAGAAUUCAGUGAAUCAUCGAAUCUUUGAACGCACAUUGCGCCCGCCAGCAUUCUGGCGGGCAUGCCUGUUCGAGCGUCAUUUCAACCCUCGCAGCCCAUCUGGGCAGCGGUGUUGGGGACCGGCACCACCGGCGAAGCCCUUAGGGACCCAGCCGGCGCCGCCCCCGAAAUACAGUGGCGGUCUCGCUGCAGCCUCCCUUGCGUAGUAGCACACCUCGCACCGGAGCGCAGCGCGGCCACGCCGUAAAACCCCCGACUUUCUGAGUUUGACCUCGAAUCAGGUAGGAAUACCCGCUGAACUUAAGCAUAUCAAUAAGCGGAGGA